CCCGACUGUCAGGGCCAGAGAUAGUCAUCCAGAAUCUCACCCAGGCUGUCUGCCGGAGCUGUCAUUGCUGGGAGCUCCAUGUGAAUGAAUAUGAGGAGCGUCUAUUCCUCCAAGGCUCAAAGCUAAGUGACCUCAAAAUGUUGUUGGAUCGGAAACCCGGAGCUGGAAAAAGGCUUGGGAACCAUCUAGUCCACCUCCCUCUUCUACAGGCAGGGAAACUGAGGCCCAUGAAGGCUGGAUGGCUUGGAUGAGAUCACACCAGUAACAAGUGCCUGAGCCGGGCUUUGACUCCAAAUACUGCAUUCUUUCCACCAUCCCACGGCUUUAAUUCAGAUCUUUUCACUUCAUCCAGAUCUCUUAAAGGAAGACAGACUUUCUGCCCGCUGUUUUUCAGCUGACUGGUGUGAACUGGGUGUUUAAAUGGACCGGAACUCACUGUAUAAUUAUGCAGCGCUUCCUUCUGUUCCGGCUGGGUCCUGCGGACUGGCCUAACCCAUCUUUCCUUAAAUACCAUUCAUCUGAAUCACCGCAUUGGCUUUCCUAGGCCUGUGGAGAAGCCCUAGAUUCUGCUCAGACUAGAGACAAAUCUGGCCUUGAGAGAUCCCAGAGAAUGAGUAGCACAAGUCAGUCCCCAUCAGAGAGAAGACUGUGCACCUUAGGGAGGGAAAAAAGUCAAUGGGAGGCUAACUUUUUUUAUUGUACAUAACCGCUCUUUUCUGCUCACAGCACAGUAUGCUUUGUUGUAAGGAAUUACACGCUGGACAUUCAAGUUGCUAACACCGUGGACGAGUCAGGAGACCCAGGCAUGCAGAGUUUACCUUCAACAGAGAAGCUGUUUUGGUGAAGUGCUUUGUGACUUCAAAGUCUGUUGUGUAAGGAGGUUAGUGCAUAUGACUCAUAGAUAAAUUCUGUUUCUUUUUGCAAAGCUGUCCUCGUAUUUGGUAUGCUGGGUGACUACAAUCUUUAGUAAGCAAAAUAAUAAAUUUUCUUGUAUCUGGAAUAGCA
rnacentral:lncRNA from 1 species